AGGCCGGGUUAGCUUGUAGAUAGCAAACAUCGUCGAGAACUAUAAUUGGCCAUACUACUUCAAAAACUCUCAAUUUCUCUCUAUAAGCUAGGGGUUUUGGUGAAAAUUCUCCCCAAUAAGCUCACCAAGGUUCCAACGAGACCCCACAUCUCCAUUUGGAGCAAUAGUUGAAGUUGGAGUUGAUCAAAGAAUCAACAAAGAUAGAGUCGGAGGUAGUUGGGACCUAGAUUGAGGUGUCCAUGUGUAUUCGUCUUUUGGUAGGUUCCAUGGCAUUCAGUAGUUGUACCUUCACCCAAAGUCACUCUGCUGAUAGUCAAGAGUCUUUUGCCUGUGUAUACGUACUCGUGAUGUAAAUCACUAAGAUUCAUAGUAUAAACAAUAUAUGUAUAUUUUGAUUGAUGAUGCCACUAUGAGUUGGCAAUGGGUGACAUUAUUUUAGAUGAUAUAAAUGUAAGUAUUUGAUUGCCAUAGUA